rnacentral:rRNA from 1 species
AACGAACGCUGGCGGCAGGCCUAACACAUGCCAGUCGAGCGGACCCUUCGGGGUUAGCGGCGGACGGGUGAGUAACGCGUGGGAACGUGCCCUUUGCUUCGGAAUAGCCCUGGGAAACUGGGAGUAAUACCGGAUACGCCCUUUUGGGGAAAGAUUUAUCGGCGAAGGAUCGGCCCGCGUUGGAUUAGGUAGUUGGUGGGGUAAUGGCCUACCAAGCCGACGAUCCAUAGCUGGUUUGAGAGGAUGAUCAGCCACACUGGGACUGAGACACGGCCCAGUCUCCUACGGGAGGCAGCAGUGGGGAAUCUUAGACAAUGGGGGAAACCCUGAUCUAGCCAUGCCGCGUGAGCGAUGAAGGCCUUAGGGUUGUAAAGCUCUUUCACCGGGGAAGAUAAUGACGGUACCCGGAGAAGAAGCCCCGGCUAACUCCGUG